CCCUGCGUGGUGUCCUUCAGUGAUCGUGAAUGUUAUUCAUGUUAUAUAAUAGUAAUAUUUGAGGCUAGAUUACAUCUCUAAUGAGAAGGAUCCUGCGAGUCUGUUCAUACCGAGGCCGGCCCGAGUGCGCGAGCGGACAUGACGUGUGGCUGUCGUAAAAACCCUAUUUGUAAACAACCAGUCCUUUAACUCAGCGCUACGUCAUAAACACGGCGCGCUUGGAAGACCACGAUGUCAUCUUCCUUCUGUCAGGAGGAUCCAAGUGAAGCUACAGGAGUUUCAUUAACGUCAAUAACUUGGACCGAACAGUUUGUUUUGCUUGAUGAAGACCAGGAAGGGCAGCCUGGAGAGAAAGAGAAGCCGGGUUAAGCCCACUACCAUCAUCCAUGUACCACAAGGAAGAUGAGGGAGAGAAAUGAUCCUACCAUUAAAGAGACUGUGAAAAGAACGUUGAGAACAUCACCACUCUACAGGAAGACACAGUCCAGUAAUGGGUGUCAGAAUUUCAGUAGUGAACGACAGGUACUGUGGAAAAAUGUGUGUCAUUGUUGUACAAUGUCCUUUGACUCUGUUUACACAAGGUUAACACAAAAAGGUUUGAUUGUAAACUGAUAUUGGUAUGAAUUCAUGUUAUUCUCCUCUUCACAAGAAACAAACAAUCCAAAUUACCUGCAGAAAGCCCUUGAUGGACGCUUCAGCUGCAUCGUC